rnacentral:sRNA from 1 species
UCAAAUAGGCCUGUUACGGAUCCGGAUAUCCGGU